rnacentral:rRNA from 1 species
CCUACGGGAGGCAGCAGUGGGGAAUCUUGGACAAUGGGGGCAACCCUGAUCCAGCGAUGCCGCGUGGGUGAAGAAGGCCUUCGGGUUGUAAAGCCCUUUAGGUUGGGACGAAGGUUGGUGGAGGAUAAUGCUGCCAACUUGACGGUACCGACAGAAUAAGCACCGGCAAACUCUGUGCCAGCAGCCGCGGGUAAU